CCCAGACUCCUACGGGAGGCAGCAGUGGGGAAUAUUGCACAAUGGGGGAAACCCUGAUGCAGCGACGCCGCGUGAGUGAAGAAGUAUUUCGGUAUGUAAAGCUCUAUCAGCAGGGAAGAUAAUGACGGUACCUGAGUAAGAAGCCCCGGCUAACUACGUGCCAGCAGCCGCGGUAAUACGUAGGGGGCAAGCGUUAUCCGGAUUUACUGGGUGUAAAGGGAGCGUAGACGGCAUGGCAAGUCUGAAGUGAAAGCCCGGGGCUCAACCGCGGGACUGCUUUGGAAACUGUUAAGCUGGAGUGCAGGAGAGGUAAGUGGAAUUCCUAGUGUAGCGGUGAAAUGCGUAGAUAUUAGGAGGAACACCAGUGGCGAAGGCGGCUUACUGGACUGUAACUGACGUUGAGGCUCGAAAGCGUGGGGAGCAAACAGGAUUAGAUACCCUAGUAA
rnacentral:rRNA from 1 species